AGAACGAUCUACCUGAUAAUGCCCUGUCUCAUGGACUAAGACCACAUCUUCUAAAACACGCAUUCCCUGAACUGCUUAAUUGUUUAACUUUUCACAGGUCUGGUGACAAGGAGCACUUUCCAUUCUUUCUUACUGAGAGUGCCAACUAGUGACUCUUACCAAAAAAUCAUCAUCGUCAUCAUCAUCCCUGUUGUCAGGCAUCCCCUGUCCUUAGCAGAAGCUUCCCGCCCUCCAAUGGUGAUGCCAAAGACGAGGAUUACAGAAGCUCUCUACCCAAAAAGUCAUGGAACCAAAUUAAAAAGGAAAUGAAAAAGGAAUCCAUUCAUCUCCGGAGUACCGAGGAAGAGGCAGAAACGACUUUUACAAUCCCCUGGAUCCUUCUGUCUGCUCCCAUUCAGCCAAGGAUUACAGAGAUUUCUCCGCAAACAAUCAGGUUGUCCUAACACAGUCGACAAAGGAGGCUGGAACACCCUGACCGUGGGGCUACCCAUCUUUAAUGGAGGGCAAGCCCCCAGCAGCUAUAAGUCACUAUCUUCUGGGUAAUCCAUCAUCUCCGGGCCAGCUGAGCUACAGAGAGGCCUCUUCGAGUACGUAGAACACACAUGUGCCCGUGAUAUGGAUUUGCAGAAAGAGGAUGGACUGUGGCAUCAGGACCUCA